rnacentral:rRNA from 1 species
GAGUUUGAUCAUGGCUCAGGAUGAACGCUGGCGGCGUGCUUAACACAUGCAAGUCGAACGGAGAGCUGAUGACAGAGGAUUCGUCCAAUGGAUUUAGUUUCUUAGUGGCGGACGGGUGAGUAACGCGUGAGGAACCUGCCCUGGAGUGGGGAAUAACAGUUAGAAAUGACUGCUAAUACCGCAUGAUGCAGUUGAGUCGCAUGGCUCUGACUGCCAAAGAUUUAUCGCUCUGGGAUGGACUCGCGUCUGAUUAGCUAGUAGGCGGGUAAC